rnacentral:rRNA from 1 species
CCUACGGGGGGCAGCAGUGGGGAAUAUUGCACAAUGGGGGAAACCCUGAUGCAGCGACGCCGCGUGAGCGAAGAAGUAUCUCGGUAUGUAAAGCUUCAUCAGCAGGGAAGAAAAUGACGGUACCUGAGUAAGAAGCCCCGGCUAAAUACGGGCCAGCAGCGGCGGUAAUACGUAUGGAGCAAGCGUUAUCCGGAUUUACUGGGCGUUAAGGGAGCGUAGGCGGCUUGCCAAGGCAGAUGUGAAAUACCGGGGCUCAACCCCGGGGCUGCAUUGGAAACUGGCAGGCUGGAGUGCCGGAGAGGCAGGCGGAAUUCCUGGUGUAGCGGUGAAAUGCGUAGAUAUUAGGAGGAACACCGGUGGCGAAGGCGGCCUGCUGGACGGUGACUGACGCUGAGGCUCGAAAGCGUGGGGAGCAAACAGGAUUAGAUACCCUUGUAGUC